CAGUCGCCGCGGUAAAACGUAGGGUGCAAGCGUUAAUCGGAAUUACUGGGCGUAAAGCGUGCGCAGGCGGUUAUAUAAGUCAGAUGUGAAACCCCCGGGCUCAACCUGGGAACUGCAUUUGAGACUGUAUGGCUAGAGUGUGUCAGAGGGGGGUAGAAUUCCACGUGUAGCAGUGAAAUGCGUAGGUAUGUGGAGGAAUACCGAUGGCGAAGGCAGCCCCCUGGGUUAACACUGACGCUCAUGCACGAAAGCGUGGGGAGCAAACAGGAUUAGAUACCCGCGUAGUCCCUGUCUCUUAUAC
rnacentral:rRNA from 1 species